UACGAAGGGGGCUAGCGUUGCUCGGAAUUACUGGGCGUAAAGCGCACGUAGGCGGCUUUCUAAGUCGGGGGUGAAAUCCCCGGGCUCAACCCGGGAACUGCGUCUGAUACUGGAUGGCUUGAGUUCGGGAGAGGGAUGCGGAAUUCCAGGUGUAGCGGUGAAAUGCGUAGAUAUCUGGAGGAACACCGGUGGCGAAGGCGGCAUCCUGGACCGACACUGACGCUGAGGAGCGAAAGCCAGGGGAGCAAACGGG
rnacentral:rRNA from 1 species